CGGCGUGCCUAACACAUGCAAGUCACGGGGGCCCGCAUGGGCAACCGGCGACCGGGUGCGUGACACAUGAGCGAUCUGCCGAUUUCUGGGGGAUACCUCGGUCGCAGCGACCGGGUGAAUACCGCACACGCUCAUUGGGGGACAUCCCCUGAUGAGGAAACCUCCGGGGGAAAUCGAGGAGCUCGCGGCCUAUAAGCUACCUUGGUGAGGUAACGGCUCACCAAGGCUACCACCGGUACCUGGUCUGAGAGGAUGGCCAGCCUCAUUGGGACUGCGACACGGCCCAAACUCCUACGGGAGGCAGCAUUGGGGAAUAUUGCGCAAUGGACGAAAGUCUGACGCAGCGACACCCCGUGUGGGAUGAAGCUUUUCGGAGUGUAAACCAUCUGUUGCCCGGGACGAACUUCCCCUUUCGAGGGGAUCUGACGGUACCGGGUGAGGAAGCACCGGCUAACUCUGUGCCAGCAGCCGCGGUAAUACAGAGGGUGCGAGCGUUGUCCGGAAUCACUGGGCGUAAAGGGCGCGUAGGUGGCUUGGUAAGCGUGUGGUGAAAGCUCGGGGCUCAACCCCGAGUCGGCCAUGCGAACUGCCGAGCUUGAGCAUGGUAGAGGCAGGUGGAAUUCCGGGUGUAGCGGUGGAAUGCGUAGAUAUCCGGAAGAACACCGGUGGCGAAGGCGGCCUGCUGGGCCAUUGCUGACACUGAGGCGCGACAGCGUGGGGAGCAAACAGGAUUAGAUACCCUGGUAGUCCACGCCGUAAACGAUGGGCACUAGGUGCUUGGGGGAGCGACCCCCUGAGUGCCGUCGCUAACGCAUGAAGUGCCCCGCCUGG
rnacentral:rRNA from 1 species